rnacentral:rRNA from 1 species
GUCCGCGUUGUAAUUUGCAGAGGAUGCUUCGGGUGCAGCCCCCGUCUAAGUGCCCUGGAACGGGCCGUCAUAGAGGGUGAGAAUCCCGUCUGGGACGGGGUGUCUGCGUCCGUGUGAAGCUCCUUCGACGAGUCGAGUUGUUUGGGAAUGCAGCUCUAAAUGGGUGGUAAAUUUCAUCUAAAGCUAAAUACUGGCCGGAGACCGAUAGCGCACAAGUAGAGUGAUCGAAAGAUGAAAAGCACUUUGAAAAGAGAGUUAAACAGCACGUGAAAUUGUUGAAAGGGAAGCGUUUGCGACCAGACUCGCCCGCGGGGUUCAGCCGGCAUUCGUGCCGGUGUACUUCCCCGUGGGCGGGCCAGCGUCGGUUUGGGCGGCCGGUCAAAGGCCCUCGGAAUGUAUCACCUCUCGGGGUGUCUUAUAGCCGAGGGUGCAAUGCGGCCUGCCUGGACCGAGGAACGCGCU